CUAGCUAAGUGGGCGCAACAGUUUAGACUCAAACAUUACAUAAUAUGUAAUGUUGGGUUUUUUCAACAAUCUUAUUCCUACUGAACAUCUCGGUAUGGAUUUAUUCCUCUAUCUCCCUUUCUAUUCCCCUCUACCAUCUUUCUUUUUCCCAUGCUUUCCGUUGGUCAACAACCAACAAAAGUGUUCUAUCCUUCUUCACUACUCCGACUCUCUUUCUGUCUGGAUUGAAUCCUUUUUUCCUGUAGUUCAGGAUUCCCUCUCUAUGCCCAUAUCUAUUUAGUCAAAAGGCUAGUU
rnacentral:lncRNA from 1 species